GGGCCAAUCACUCGAGCCCGUGCGAGAGAAUUAAACUUCAUCAUGUUGUUAAGGAACGAAGGCCCAUCGGAAUAAGAAGAUGGCCCAACAGGGCAGCCCAGGUGGGGCGCCUAGGGUUGGGCGCCGUGACCCCUUCGGACUCCAGGGGCUGCGCCCCCUUUAUUUAGUCCGAGUUCUUUUUGUUUACGACUUGAGUUUUGUUUUACAUCUAGCUUUAGCUACUCUUGAACACGCGCAAAUACGCGCUGUCCUUGUGUGAUUCAGAACUCCACCUUCGAGUGAUAUUUAGAUUGCUCGCCUCUCUUUCUUGUUCGUUCUUCGAUUGCGGACAGGAAUCGAUCUUCGUGAUCACGC
rnacentral:lncRNA from 1 species